rnacentral:tRNA from 1 species
GUCUGGGUGGCUCAGUUGGUUAAGUGUCUGACUUCAGCUCAGGUCCUGAUCUCAACGGUUCGUGAGUUCGAGUCCCUCCUCAGGUG